GAUGAAGAACGUAGCGAAAUGCGAUAAGUAAUGUGAAUUGCGGAAUUCAGUGAAUCAUCGAGUCUUUGAACGCACAUUGCGCCCCCUGGUAUUCCGGGGGGCAUGCCUGCCCGAGCGUCAUUGCUGCCCUCAAGCACGGCUUGUGUGUUGGGCCCCCGUCCCCGGUUUCCCCCGGGGACGGGCCCGAAAGGCAGCGGCGGCACCGCGUCCGGUCCUCGAGCGUAUGGGGCUUUGUCACCCGCUCUGUAGGCCCGGCCGGCGCCAGCCGACACCCAACUUUAUUUCUAAGGUUGACCUCGGAUCAGGUAGGGAUACCCGCUGAACUUAAGCAUAUCAAUAAGCGGAGGA
rnacentral:misc_RNA from 1 species